rnacentral:lncRNA from 1 species
GAGUCUCAUUCUUUUCAGUAAAUCCUCUCGCUGCGUGGUGAGAAAACUGAUGCCUGGAGUCUGUGACCUGCCUAGGACCACAGAACUCGGAACGGCAGGAAUGCUAUGCGUUCAAUGGGACUCAGCGCGUUGUGGACGGGCUCAUCUACAACCGGGAGGAAUACGUGCAUUUUGACAGCGCAGUGGGGGAGUUCCUAGCAGUGAUGGAGCUGGGGCGGCCCAUAGGCGAGUACUUCAAUAGCCAGAAGGACUUUAUGGAACGGAAGCGAGCCGAGGUGGACAAGGUGUGCAGACACAAGUACGAGCUGAUGGAGCCACUCAUCCGGCAGCGCCGAGGAGACGUAACCAUAACUGCUGUUAGGGGGUGUUGGACGACGAUUCUUUCUGGCUACUUCCUGCUGAAAAGGGGCGUCGUGUCGGGGGGCUGCAGUUGGGGCUCCUCCUGAGGUUGAUCUAAGGCUUCUUGGAAGAAUGGCAUGUCCAUGUGUGGCUUUGUUUGCAGCACCAUUUGAAGUUUGAUUGCUUCUAGGCAAAAAGAGAUAAAUUUUACAAGAAGGUUUAAAAUAUAGGGUUACCAUAUGAGUAUUAAGAUUACCACCUAUAGACUGUAACUAUGGCAGUAGAGUUUGAUACCUGUUACACCAAUGGAUUGUAAUACUGGUUUGUCUCCACUAGAUGUCGCUGUACAUUACCAGAAACGUUAAUAUAAAAGCAUCAUUUCCUUUGA